GCUGGUGUAGUUUAGUGGUUUGAAUGUUGGACUAUGACUCUGGACACCAGGGUUAAAUUCCUGGCUCUGCCA